GGGAAGGUAGCUCAGUGGUAGAGUACUUGCCUUGCAUGCAUGAGGCCCUGGGUUCCAUUCCUCAGCACCA
rfam:Dipodomys ordii contig_53311, whole genome shotgun sequence.